CCGAUGUGGAUAUCCAGGGAGGUCACUCUUCCCGGGCUCUGUGCAGGUGGCAUAGGGGAGUGCAGGGCUCUGCCCCAUGGUGUACGGUCCCUUUCUACAACACGGGAGGGGAAGCUGGGCCGUGAGUUUGCACCUGCAUAUUCCUGCGACUUCUCGGAACCUGUGGACGAUGGCUGAGGAGACAAACCAUGCAGUGAAAAAAU
ensembl:snoRNA SNORA73 Small nucleolar RNA SNORA73 family